rnacentral:rRNA from 1 species
UACGGGGGGAGCAAGCGUUGUUCGGAUUUACUGGGCGUAAAGGGCGCGUAGGCGGUCAGCACAAGUCAGUUGUGAAAUCUCCGGGGCUUAACGUCCGGAAAGGUCAACUGGAAUACUGUGCGACUAGAGUGCAGAAGGGGCAACUGGAAUUCUCGGUGUAGCGGUGAAAUGCGUAGAUAUCGAGAGGAACACCUGCGGCGAAGGCGGGUGCUGGGCCGACACUGACGCUGA